UCGGGAAUUUUGGGCAAUGGGCGAAAGCCUGACCCAGCAACGCCGCGUGAAGGAUGAAGUAUUUCGGUAUGUAAACUUCGAAAGAAUAGGAAGAAUAAAUGACGGUACUAUUUAUAAGGUCCGGCUAACUACGUGCCAGCAGCCGCGGUAAUACGUAGGGACCAAGCGUUGUUCGGAUUUACUGGGCGUAAAGGGCGCGUAGGCGGCAAUUCAAGUCAUCUGUGAAAUCUCCGGGCUUAACUCGGAACGGUCAGAUGAUACUGCUUUGCUAGAGUGCAGAAGGGGCAAUCGGAAUUCUUGGUGUAGCGGUGAAAUGCGUAGAUAUCAAGAGGAACACCUGAGGUGAAGACGGGUUGCUGGGCUGACACUGACGCUGAGGCGCGAAAGCCAGGGGAGCCAACGGGAUUAGAUACCCAGGUAGUCCCUGAGCGGGCUGGCAAGGCGCAU
rnacentral:rRNA from 1 species